rnacentral:rRNA from 1 species
GACGAACGCUGGCGGCGUGCCUAAUACAUGCAAGUCGAACGCAGUGGGGACGGGUGAGUAACACGUGGGUAACCUCCCAUCAGAGGGGAUAACACUUGGAAACAGGUGCUAAACCGAUACUGAUGGAUGGACCCGCGGUGCAUUAGCCAGUUGGUGAGGUAACGGCCCACCAAGGCCACGAUGCAUAGCCGACCUUGGAGGUUGACCGCGCAUACUGGGACUGAGACACGGCCCAGACUCCUACGUGAUGCAGCAGUAGUGAAUCUUCGUCAAUGGACGAAAGUCUGACCGAGCAACGCCGCGUGAGUGAAGAAGGUUUUCGGAUCGUAAAACUCUGUUGUUAGAGAAGCGGUAUCUAACCAGAAAGCCCCGGCUAACUACGUGCCAGCAGCCGCGGUAAUAC